UUCUUAUCCAGAGAGGCGGAGGGAACUGGCCCAACGAAACCUCAGCAACAGGUCCUAAAGAUACUGUGCUACUUCCAGUGGGUGGUUCCCAGAUAGAUGAGAG
rnacentral:ncRNA from 2 species